CACAUUACUAACUGUCAAUUGCUAAAAAAAAAACAUUGUACUAGUUGCCACCAAGAGCGCACAGUAACAGAAGAGGAUUGAGAUUGCAGUGCUUCUCUGUGCAGGAUGGCCCAGAAGGACUUCUGGGAGCCAACUGAGACCUCGAGAAAGACGAUUUACGAUACCUUCGUGCGGUUGAAGGUUGGGGAGGACCUCAAACACUCUCCGGGAGGAGGCAAAAAUCAUCCGUGUCUGUCAACCACCUGAAGUAGGCCUUCAAGAAGAAGCCAAAUUCCUCAAUUGCUGACAUGGCCACGGAGAGGAACAAAUCCACAUCAACGGUGUCCAGGGCUCUAAAAAAGGCAGAAGUAAAUUUUCAGCGGCGUAUUUUGUGAUCCUCUGUUGAUAUAACAACAGAGAAAAGUCAGUGUGGAGCUUGCAAAAAAAGAUCCUGAAUCACCUUAAAGAAACCUGUGGACUAAUUGUGAUCUUUUCUGAUAAGAAAACACUUCCUGUUAAUCCGGUCUUUAACAGGCAGAAUGAUCAGGUAGUGACAUUUGGAAUGUAGCAGAGGAGCACCGAUAUCUCUCCACCACCAAACACCCUGCAUAAGUGAGGAGGUUAAGCCUGGUUGCAUCCAACGGGAAGGCCAUGAAUCCCAUGUGGUUCCCUUUAGGAUACAGGCUGAAAGCUGAUAACAAUUCUCCCUAGGUGUUCCUACAAACUGGAGUACCUGCCCACACCGUAAAAAAAAACAAGAAAAGCUCGAAGAUAACAUACACUUCCGGCAAAAACUUCUAGCCACUGCAGAGUCCAGACCUCAACAUCCUAGACUAUUCUAUCCAGGAUCCUUCCAUGGAUUAAAUACUUAGUGAGUAGAAACGGGUAAAUAAUAAUGGUUGGCCCAGUAUAUAUCCCUAUAGAGUGGACGGGAGCAAAACUGUUACACUCCAAAAAAGUAUAUGUUAUCGGACAAACCAGUGCAAUGCAAAAACUUUGAUUUGAAUUGCAUGCAGGUAUUCUCAAAAUGUCUCAAAACAAACAUUUCGAAAAUUGGACUGAAGACAAGGAGAGAAAAGGCCAAAAGGCAAAGGAUAGCGGAUCUUACCUCGUGUAAGUGAGGCAAAAGAGAAUUGAGGAACAUGGUGAAACCCUAAAUUAAUGCCAAUUAUGCUGGGAUCUCCUGUUUGGCAAUAGGAUGGUGCCCCUAGCUAGAAGAGCAAUGAGGCCCAAAACUGGCUAACGAAGAGUCUUCAAGAUUUCUGUUCUGCAUCAAUGUGGCCUCUAUCCUCAAUAGAUUGUUCACCAUUGGACUAUGUAAUAUGGGUGUGUGAAGAUUAAGGCCCGUGCUAAUCCUCACAGGAAUGUGGACGACCACAAAGCUGCUGCAGAGAGUGACCAACAUGCAGAGUACUAAGUUUUUAACGUCUGCUAGCCAUUCAGGUCUAAUGUAUAGAAUAUGGUUGCUGCUGAAGAAUCACAUUUUGGAUAAAAAUUUAGUUAAUAGUUUGAUUAACGAAUUUAAGAACUAUUCGAGUUGUUAGACUUAUUUUUGCAAAUUAUUUGUUUUUCAAGCCUUCUUUAGUCAAGUGUAACAAUUUUGCUUUAUCGUAUAGCUCAAUCUUUCUCCCAAAAAGAAACAGUGAAAAUAAUCAUUUGGUAGUUAGCCAAUUCUUCCCAAAUGUGAAAUUAUUAUUUAAGCAGCAUUGCUCUUAGUUAUUAUGCCUAAAUAAAUUUGAUUCAAUAAUAUAGAUAAAGUUAUAUAAA
rnacentral:lncRNA from 1 species